AUUUAUAUAACUGUUGAACUGUCGUGCAGAGUACGACAACAGAUAAGCUGUGAGUUUUAAUACAAAUGUAUGUAACUCUCAUGGUGCCUCGACCACAACCUUACAAUGGUACUUUACAUAAAAGUACAGUCAAAAACUGUUUUAGAAAUUAAAAUCUUUGGGAAGUGCUCAAGGAAACCUUCGUACAUGGGAGGCCAUGCGUCUAGGUUAUGAUAGAAAUCAUAUGUCCACAGAAUUAUCCUUGGUUGACUCAAUAGACCCCAAAGAAAAAUAAGAAGAUUACUAUCAUGUUCUUUCCAAUGGUGAGUCUUCUCUUGACAUAUAACUAUCUCCACUGUCUGCAAUUGAAAAUUAUAUUUCAACCAAACUCCAAGAUCAUAUAGGUAGUGCUCGUAGAUAUACUCAGGAAGUGGAUGUGCACAACCAUGUCUUAUGAUAACACGAGAUUGUAUGUCAUUAGACAUCUUGUAUAAUAGUGGCAAAACACCCUUCCAAAGUUGGGUUCACCUCACCCUAUUCGGUUCACCAAAAUUAAAUAUCAAAUGAAGUAUACAAUACGACACACUUAUCUAAAGUUCUCAAUAAAAUUAUUUCCAUACUAUUUAGGGAGAACCUCAACAGCUAUAGACCACCAUUCUAUUCUCCUGUUACCCCCGCUCGACCCAGCUACACUCUUAUUACCUGAAAGAAAUUGUGAAGUAAAAAGGGUGAGCACAACUAGCCCAGUAAAGAAUAUCAUAACUAAAGAUAAUUUACAUCAUCAAUAGCCUUCAUCAGUAAUAAAUCAGAGAUUUAAGACAUAUGGUAGAUGAUAAAACUUUUCAACAAUAGUUGCAGCGGAACGACCAAUCCAUUAUAAGAGACAAAUAGACCAUCAAGUCUAUUAUCUUCUCCAUGUUAAAAGUCCACCAAUAAUAUUUUAUCCCUGUAACAUCAAUCAACAAUUCAUGUCCACAAUCAUAUGAAUAACUCAUAAUCAUAAUUGUGAUUCUAAAUUCCUCUUCGCACCCAGGACGAAGAUAAUUUUCAUCACCUAUCUUCACCUAAAACAUCAAAAAUCAUGGUUAUACCAAAUCACAAUUCCUGCUCAUAAUCAAACUAAUAAAUUCAUCUUUGCACUAUGGCCAAAGAUAUUCAUUAAUAAUUCAUCUUUGCACUACAUGUCAAAGACAUACAACUGUAUUUUAGAAGAGUCAAGUAGAGCAUGAUAUCUACUAUCUUUUAUGAAUUAAAAGUUUAUAAUCAAUAUUUUAUCGCUGAGACUCAGCUUAAUAAAUAAUCCACAUCAUCAAAUCAUCCCUGCACUACGGCCAAGGAUAUUCAUGUAAUCAUCAAUAGUCAUGAUUAUACCGAAUAAUCCCUGGUUAUAAUCAUACCAAUAAAUGUCCUUAAUGCAUUACGGGCCAAUGAGGACUUUUACCACAUCAUCUAUAACAUUACGGGUCAUGAUUAUAUCGAAUGAUCCCUGGUCAUAAUCAUACNN
rnacentral:lncRNA from 1 species